UACGUAGGGUGCGAGCGUUAAUCGGAAUUACUGGGCGUAAAGCGUGCGCAGGCGGCGCGUUAAGACAGGUGUGAAAGCCCCGAGCUUAACUUGGGAAUUGCGCUUGUGACUGGCGUGCUGGAGUGUGGCAGAGGGAGGUGGAAUUCCACGUGUAGCAGUGAAAUGCGUAGAGAUGUGGAGGAACACCGAUGGCGAAGGCAGCCUCCUGGGCCAGCACUGACGCUCAGGCACGAAAGCGUGGGGAGCAAACAGG
rnacentral:rRNA from 1 species